rnacentral:rRNA from 1 species
UACGGAGGGUGCAAGCGUUAUCCGGAUUUACUGGGUUUAAAGGGUGUGUAGGCGGGCUUUUAAGUCAGUGGUGAAAUCUCCGGGCUCAACCCGGAAACUGCCAUUGAUACUAUUAGUCUUGAAUUUUGUGAGGUAGGCGGAAUAAGUCAUGUAGCGGUGAAAUGCAUAGAUAUGACUUAGAACACCAAUUGCGAAGGCAGCUUGCUAAACAAAUAUUGACGCUGAGGCACGAAAGCGUGGGGAGUCAAACAG